rnacentral:rRNA from 1 species
GAUGAACGCUAGCUACAGGCUUAACACAUGCAAGUCGAGGGACCGGCGCACGGGUGAGUAACACGUAUCCAACCUGCCCUUUACGCGGGGAUAGCCGUUCGAAAGAAAGAUUAAUACCCGAUGUAAAGGAUGGGGAUGGGUUCCAUUAGUUUGUUGGUGAGGUAACGGCUCACCAAGCCUUCGGUGGAUAGGGGUUCUGAGAGGAAGGUCCCCCACAUUGGAACUGAGCCACGGUCGAAACUCCUACGGGAGGCAGCAGUAAGGAAUAUGGAUCAAUGGGCGUUGGCCGUAGCCGGCCAAGUAGCGUGAAGGAUGAAGGCUGAUGGGUCGUAAACUCCUUUUGUUAGGGAAGCGGUACCUAACGAAGAAGCACCGGCUAACUCCGUGCCAGCCGCCGCGGUAAUUC